CCUACGGGUGGCAGCAGUGGGGGAUAUUGCACAAUGGGGGAAACCCUGAUGCAGCGACGCCGCGUGUAGGAAGACGGUCCUCUGGAUUGUAAACUACUGUCCCCAGGGACGAAGAUGACGGUACCUGGGGAGGAAGCUCCGGCUAACUACGUGCCAGCAGCCGCGGUAAUACGUAGGGACCGAGCGUUGUCCGGAAUUACUGGGUGAAAAGGGAGCGUAGGCGGGGAUGCAAGUUGGGUGUUAAAUCUACCGGCUCAACUGGUAGUCGCACUCAAAACUGCAGCUCUUGAGUGAAGUAGAGGCAGGCGGAAUGCCUGGUGUAGCGGUGAAAUGCGUAGAUAGUAGGAGGAACACCAGUGGCGAAGGCGGCCUACUGGGCUUUUACUGACGCUGAGGCUCGAAAGUGUGGGGAGCAAACAGGAUUAGAUACCCCAGUAGUC
rnacentral:rRNA from 1 species